UCUGAACCCCUUAAUUCAAUCGGCUGAUCUAAAAGUCAUAGCUAGGUUUAGAAUUCCGAUAAGGUAGCAAGAAGAGUAGAGGUGAACUGCGUGCCGAAGAUUGAGCUCGGAGCCGUGUAAUAUCGACGGGAAACAUGGCCGGUGCGACGCCAAGCAGCAGCUCCUGUCUGCCGCCGCCAGCUGCGCUCGUCGACCGCACCCUCCACGCCCUCGGCUUCCGUUUCACGCACAUCUCGCCGGGAAAAGUCGCCGGCCGGCUCAAGGUCACCGAGACAUGUUGCCAGCCGUUCAACUUGCUGAACGGCGGAGUGUCGGCUCUGGUGGCGGAGUCGUUGGCGAGUUUGGGUGCAUACGUGGCGUCGGAUUUCCGGCAAGUGGCGGGCGUGCAGCUCUCCACCAACCAUGUCAAGGCGGCUCUGCUAGGGGAAGAGGUGGAGGCGGAAGCAUGCCCAAUCCAUGUCGGCAGGACAAUCCAAGUUUGGGAGGUGCAGAUACGGAAGAUGGACUCCUCGACCUCAGGGAGAAAUGUAUUAGUCUCAUCUUCAAAGGUCACCAUCUUAUGCAAUCGGCAAACUUCCCAGGCGCACAAGGAUUAUGAAGACACUAUCAAGAAGAGCAAUACUAUUCUUUGCUAUUCUUGGGUUGUCUGGUUGCUUCAUAACGUGUUGUGAUCAAGGAGUACAGGAUGAUUUAGGUCAGCCAUGUCGGAAUAUGUGUCUCUGCUGUUGCCAACCAAGGAUUCUGGUGAAGAAGGAUUAUAGAAGUUAUCUCUAGAUCACGAGGAGUUGUUCUUUAGACUUUCUUUUGUGUAACUUUCAUGGGAAUAGCUGUUUUUUUAUUAUCAAAUUAAUAAUAGAUAUGUAGAUAUUUUUAUUA